rnacentral:lncRNA from 1 species
CGGUGAGGUUAGUCUGUUAUUUUGUCACACAGAUGCACAGCUCGGUGGGAUCCUGGUGUGUUUGGAUGUUUGGUUGCACACAAUGAAAACCUGCAACAAAGCACCUUUCAUUGGGAAGCUGAUGUAUGUCACAUUGCUCUCAGUUCUGGAGGCCCAACAGGACAAUGAGGUGACGGGGUAUCUUGGGCAAGAUGUCACCCUGACGUGCCAGUUCAGCCAAAGCUCAGAAGAAGUCAAUGUUACACAGAGUCAGUGGGACCUUUUGCAGCCAGACGGAAAGCCAAUAACAAUAGUUGUUUCUAGUAGCCAGUUUGGAGCUCAGUUUCAUGAUUCCCCUCUGAAGGGAAAAGCGGAGAUUAACGAACAAUCACUGAUAAUUAAAGAUCUUGAAAAGAGAGAUGAAGGCUUGUAUAGGUGCUCUGUUUCAACCUUCCCACUUGGUUCAUUUGACACAACAACCAAACUUGUUGUCCGAGAGCCGUCAUCACCAGGGAUCAUUUCUGCUGUGGUGAUUUCUGUCCUGCUGCUUGUUGGAAUCAUGGCAGCCAGUGUUUACCUAAUGUUCAUUAAAAGGUGUGAUUCUUCAUGCAGACAUCAUGUCUUCUGUGGGGAUAUGGCAGCCGGCGGGGCCAGGUCAUCUGUUGUUUUAAAAGACCAGGAUGUGGUCUACUCUGAUGUUAAGUUCAAACCAUUCAGCUGUGCAACACCCUCCUCCAACCAACCAACCAACCAAAACACAAACACUAUGGAUGCCGAUGUCACAUACGCCAAGGUUGUUUUAGGUCAGCAGCCCAAAUCAGGGAUGCAUCCCAGCUCACAUUGGGGAGGGCGGGGUCACCAGUUCGUCACUGGGCCAACACACAGAGACAGACAGGACAACAACCACUCACACUCAGACCUACGGACAGUUUAGAGUCAGCAGUUAACUUAAACUUUGGACGGUGGGAGGAAACCCACGGAAGCACGGGGAGAACAUGCAAACUCCACACAGGAAGCGCCCAGGCCGGGGAACUGAACCCACAACCUCCCAUUGUGGGGCAACAGUAACCGCUACGCCGCCGUGCUUCCCCCCUGUCAGUCAAAUUCAGGCCUUCUUCUGCUCACCACCAUCGUUCAGGGAAAUAACAAACAACUGUUUGGAAACAAUGUUCAACAAUCAUUCACAACAGCGCUGAGAAAUUAGCAUCACUGCAAAAUGUAUAAUUUCUUUCCAGCAAUGCAAUGUUAGUCAGAAUGACAAUCCUGGAUUGCCUCUAUUGGCGACUUUGAAUGUUACCUUGAAAAAUUUGUAUUACUGCUGAAUGUAGAUCAGGGAUCAUGUUGUCGCUGCUGCACCAGCUGAUCCUGCACUUUGAGUCGAUUGCAGAUGAUAGCAUGAAGCGUCACUGAUAAAGAAAGCAGCUGGUAUGUAAACAAAACAUGGGAGACUCAGGGCUCUCCAGAGAUUACAAAGUGAGGAUAAGGGGACAAACUGUGAUUCCAAACUAGGAAAUGAAGUGAAAUGUUUUGAUGAAACUCCCUUUUCAAGAACUGAGAAUCAGCAGCUGAAAAGAAUGCCAUUCAAAACCUCUGCUGUCAGGCAAUCACACGAUGAACAGCAAAUAUGAAUGGGUUGAUGGGAAUUUGGCAACAUCUUGCAUUAAGAACAUUACAUCAGCCAAUUCUAAAAUCUUGGAUGUCAGUGUUUCAAACAGAAUGCCAUUUUGGAACAAAUAUGCAUUAAUUAUAAGCAAAAGCGUGUAUCCAGCCAUACUCUUAUGUGGUAUAAAACAGAAACAGAAUAUUUUAGGAACUGAUUAGGCAACAUUGAUACCCUGUCACAUGAUUCUGGGAUAAAUAUUGUAGAUGAAGUAACGAAAACACACUGAAUAAGCAGUUUAGCAGGAUGGAGUUGCGUCUGCAGGGACCCUUUCAUCAUGGUGGCAAAUCACAGAAAACACAGCUGCAACGCACAAAAAUCAUAUAGCUUGGAUUGAAUCAGAUGAAUCCAAGAGGAAAUGAUGCAACUGCAAAUUCCUGAUAGGUGUUUUACUGUCACAGCCAAAACGUUUGUUCCCCCGACACAUAUUAAUUCAAAACACAGUCAUAUUCCUUUCUUCCUUUUUGAAAAGGUAUAUUCCCCCAACAGCUGGGCUCUACAGUUUUUAGAAAACAUUAUUCAAACAGGAUUAAAAAGUGUAUUUCUCACCACGCGUUUCAGCUGCGGAAUAAUAUGCUUGUGUGUAAACAUGGUAACAGGAUGCUAUUUGGGUAUUUGGGACUGACUCAAAGGAAGAUGGUUUAUGUAGAUGGCAGUGACUGAACAUGCCACAGCGUGGCAGCUCAAUGAGCGCUGAGAGACUUUAGGCAUCAAAUUGGCAUAGAGGAACACAGUACGUCAGGCUUCAGCUACUUACGAGGCAGCUCUAAAAAAAAAAAACAAAAAAAAACAGGCUGUUGUGAUCUAUUCAUGGUAUUUUUUGACAUUAAGAAAUACAAAUCCAGAUGUAUGACAAAACAUUCACAGUGGCAGAUCAGUUAUCUGAUGCAAGUCUGUGAAAAAUGACUUUCAUUCCCCAAAUCACUUUGGAGGUCAGGAAUCGAUGGGAGAGAUCAACAGCAGUAAUUUGAAGUGUCCCCAGAUUUAAAGUGAAAAUGCUCAACAUUGCAAUCCAGCAGUUCACUCCUUUAAGCACUGUAGCUUAUAUACUGAUGUGUUCAGAUGGUUUUAGAUGGCUGUAACAUAAACCACAUAAUUAAAAGAGACCUAAAUCUCGACCCAGUCUGGAAUGAAAAACAUGUAUUUCUGCUAAAUUUAUUUAUCAGCAUGUUUCAACCACCUCCUGAAUGUGUCCCCAGCCACUGAGGGGAGUAAUUAGGCAAUCAAAAGCUUGACACAAUAUUGACAAGGCUGUGUUGAGUCUAUCACUUUGGUAGGAGCCUCUACAGUAUACAGCCAAGUCUGUCUGUUGAACAGAGAACUGCAGCUACAGCCUCCUGGCGCAUUAACAAGCCCCUUAAAAGAUGCCCAGAAUUAAAAGAUCCGGACAGAUCUAAUAAUGGAAGCAGUUCAGUUAGGGAUUUCUCAUUCAAAUCCGGUAGUGUCCUUUACACUCUCUCUAUCGCCUCUCGUUCUGCUGCUCUCUAUCUUUCCGUUCUGGCUCUGCCUUGUCCGUGCUCUCUAUCUCUUCUUACGCUGUGUGAACAGAGGUGAAGAAGAAGUAGAGGCUUGGCAGGCAUUACCCAGGAUAACAAGGGACAUUAAUUUCACAUUUCAAAGCCCUCGCUCAGUCUCUCCUCCUCUCUCUCUCUUUGUAGCUGAUUUUCUAACACUGGUAGAAGGUUGCUGUUGCUGGGUACAGUACAUGUCUCUACUCACAGUGAGUAGUUACCGACAGACUAACAGAAAGCACAGAUUUCGACACACACACACACACACACACGCACACACUAAGGAAAGGCGGGCCGAGAGUUUCCACUGCUGUUGUUUGCAUUAUGCUGCCUUUUAAGUCUUUUUUUUUUCCCCACAUUCUCAGGUAUCACCCAGAAAGCAGCUAUGGGGCACAGGGAGGGACACAAAACUCUUGCGCCAUAUUCAGUUUUUUUUUUUUUUUUUAGUAUGUUAUAAUCCAACAUAUUGUCACACAUGGUCUGUUUAACUUUGUAAUUCCCACUUAGAACAAUGGUAACAAAAUGAUAGAGACAAUAAAGAAACAAACAAAACAAGAAAUAAAUCUCUGGUAGUCUUUUAGUUGCUGAUUUAAAUCACAUACAGAUAGAGUAUGUCCUCCAACACAAGGCUUCAUUUUACUAGAGGGGCAGGUAGCUUCCAGGGAAGUGUCUGUGGAAGAAAACCAGUGCCCUCAAAUCUAAAUUUGAAGUCAGAGGGGAGUAAGGAGAGGAAAAGGAAGCCAGUGGAAGCCAUCAUCCAGUCGUGCAUUUCCACUCACAUUUGUCCGAGCAGAACUGUUCUUCAGAGUCCACAACUGAGGCUUGAACUGUUCAGUAUCUCACUGUGCAUGUCACCAGUUGUGUGUCUGUAAGUGUCAAGCUCAACUGGAGAAAGGAUUUCACUUUUCCCUUUUAAUUCUCCUUUUGAAGGGCAUCUCAUUCUCCAUUUGAGCUUUUUCCCUGUAAUACUCCCCCUCUGUUGUCCUCUGGUCGAUUUCGGCUGAAGAAAUCACCAGUGUUU